rnacentral:rRNA from 1 species
UACAGAGGUCUCAAGCGUUGUUCGGAUUCAUUGGGCGUAAAGGGUGCGUAGGCGGCGCGGUAAGUCGGGUGUGAAAUCUCGGAGCUUAACUCCGAAACUGCAUUCGAUACUGCCGUGCUUGAGGACUGGAGAGGAGACUGGAAUUUACGGUGUAGCGGUGAAAUGCGCAGAUAUCAGGAGGAACACCGGUGGCGAAGGCGGGUCUCUGGGCUGACACUGACGCUCAUGCACGAAAGCGUGGGGAGCAAACAGG